AGAUAUCGAUGAAUGUGCAGAUGGAAGUCACAAUUGUCAUGUCAAAGCUACAUGUGAUAAUACAGUAGGUUCAUUCACUUGUACCUGUAAUGCUGGCUACGCAGGAAAUGGCACUUAUUGUCAAGGUUAGUUUAUGAUGCCGAACACGCGGAUAUAAAGCGAGAUAUACAUAGGCGUACGAAACGAGGGAAACUAUAUAAAUAAAGUAGGAAGGAAACAACCCCUAAGGAAAAUUGAAGUUGAGAACAUUUUAAACAUAAGUUAAGCAAAAAGAUGCGAGUACAGGGAUUGAAAAGCAUUUGCUGAUAUAUUUGUGGAAUAAUAAUGAUAUGUACAGUAUAUAUUAUUUGCAACGAAUACAGUCAAGAAUUGCUUGUAUCUUGCUUCUAAAGUCAGAAAUGAAAAAUCGAAGACAGCCAAUCAAUAUUACUGCCAAUCAAUAUUAUUGCUGAGAAUAAUUAUGUCAAGUUUCAUUCCGAUCGGACAAGUAAUGACAGAGCCGUAAGGUUCUUUCAAAGAGCGUCGCCCCCUAACAACAACAGCAACAGCAACAACAACAACAGCAACAGCAACAACAGAAACAGCGACAACAAAAACAACUUGUACUUGAAUAAUAAUUAUUAAAUAUCAUACCGUUAUAAUAAACAAUACAUUUUAUUUGAAAAUAAAAUUUACCAAUUAAUGUUCGCUCAUGGUUUCGUUGAAACGAACUUUUCUGACAUCAAUAAAUGUGCAAGUGGAAGUCACAAUUGUCAUGUCAACGCUACGUGUGAUAAUACAGUAGGUUCAUUCAAUUGUACCUGUAAUGCUGGCUACGCAGGAAACGGCACUUAUUGUCAAGGUUAGCUUAUGAUGCCGAAAACGCGUAUAUAAAGCGAGAUAUACAUAGGCGUACGAAACGAGGGAAACUAUAUAAGUAAAGUAGGAAGGAAACACACCCUAAAGAAAAUUGAAGUUGAGCACAUUUUAAAAAUAAGUUAAGCAAAAAGAUGCGAAUACAGGGAUUGAAAAGCAUUUGCUGAUAUAUUUGGUGAAUAAUAAUGAUAUGUACAGUAUAUAUUAUUUGCUACGAAUACAGUCAAGAAUUGCUUGUAUCUUGCUUCUAAAGUCAGAAAUGAAAAAUCGAAGACAGCCAAUCGAUGCGGAAUGUUGCUGAGAAUAAUUAUGUCAAGUUUCAUUCCGAUCGGACAAGUAAUGACAGAGCCGUAAGGUUCUUUCAAAGAGCGUCGCCCCCUAACAACAACAGCAACAGCAACAGCAACAACAACAACAACAACAGCAACAGCAACAACAGCAACAGCGACAACAAAAACAACUUGUACUUGAAUAAUAAUUAUUAAAUAUCAUACCGUUAUAAUAAACAAUACAUUUUAUUUGAAAAUAAAAUUUACCAAUUAAUGUUCGCUCAUGGUUUCGUUGAAACGAACUUUUCUGACAUCAAUAAAUGUGCAAGUGGAAGUCACAAUUGUCAUGUCAACGCUACGUGUGAUAAUACAGUAGGUUCAUUCACUUGUACCUGUAAUGCUGGCUACGCAGGAAACGGCACUUAUUGUCAAGGUUAGCUUAUGAUGCCGAAAACGCGUAUAUAAAGCGAGAUAUACAUAGGCGUACGAAACGAGGGAAACUAUAUAAGUAAAGUAGGAAGGAAACACACCCUAAAGAAAAUUGAAGUUGAGCACAUUUUAAAAAUAAGUUAAGCAAAAAGAUGCGAAUACAGGGAUUGAAAAGCAUUUGCUGAUAUAUUUGGUGAAUAAUAAUGAUAUGUACAGUAUAUAUUAUUUGCUACGAAUACAGUCAAGAAUUGCUUGUAUCUUGCUUCUAAAGUCAGAAAUGAAAAAUCGAAGACAGCCAAUCGAUGCGGAAUAUUGCUGAGAAUAAUUAUGUCAAGUUUCAUUCCGAUCGGACAAGUAAUGACAGAGCCGUAAGGUUCUUUCAAAGAGCGUCGCCCACUAACAACAACAGCAACAGCAACAGCAACAACAACAACAGCAACAGCAACAGCAACAACAGCAACAGCAACAGCGACAACAAAAACGACUUGUACUUGAAUAAUAAUUAUUAAAUAUCAUACCGUUAUAAACAAUACAUUUUAUUCGAAAAUAAAAUUCACCAAUUAAUGUCCGCUCAUGAUUUCGUUGAAACGAACUUUUCAGAUAUCGAUGAAUGUGCAGAUGGAAGUCACAAUUGUCAUGUCAACGCUACGUGUGAUAAUACAGUAGGUUCAUUCAAUUGUACCUGUAAUGCUGGCUUCGCAGGAAACGCCACUUAUUGUCAAG
rnacentral:lncRNA from 1 species